GCCCCCAUAGCUUAAACCCCAAAAGCAUGGCACUGAAGAUGCCAAGACGGUAUGCACUACCUACCUGGGGAC
rnacentral:tRNA from 1 species